GCAGGCUGCAACUCGCCUGCAUGAAGUCGGAAUUGCUAGUAAUCGCAGAUCAGCAUGCUGUGGUGAAUACGUUCCCGGGCCUUGUACACACCGCCCGUCACACCAUGGGAGUUGGGGAUACCCGAAGCCUGUGAGCUAACUUAUAGAGGCAGCAGUCGAAGGUAGAAUCAAUGAUUGGGGUGAAGUCGUAACAAGGUAUC
rnacentral:rRNA from 1 species